rnacentral:rRNA from 1 species
CUGGUUGAUCCUGCCAGUAGUCAUAUGCUUGUUUCAAGGACUAAGCCAUGCAUGCCUCAGAAUAACUGCACUGCAGGAGUCUGCGCAUGGCUCAUUACAUCAGACGCAAUCUGCCGCAAAAAUGUUGCGGAAACGCAUUAUUGGAUACCUUGUGCGAAACGCCAAGCUAAUACAUGAACUAAUGGGAUCGUUCCGUUCCACACGCCGGAGGCUUGCCGAAGGCGUGGUGACCGACCCUGCGGAUGAAUGAAAGUACAAAUCAACGCUUCGCAAGAAGCAGUAUCACUGAGAAGUGCUGAAUCAAUUCAUCUUUGCGUAAGCUGGCCUAGCCAGCGUCUUUUGACGAACAACUGCCCUAUCAGCCAGUGAUGGCCGUGUAGUGGACUGCCAUGGCGUUGACGGGAGCGGGGGAUUAGGGUUCGAUUCCGGAGAGGGAGCCUGAGAAAUGGCUACCACUUCUACGGAGGGCAGCAGGCGCGCAAAUUGCCCAAUGCCAAAACAAAUGAUGAGGCAGCGAAAAGAAAUAGGUGCCCCAAACUCCUAGUGGGUUUGGGGCUUUCAAUGGGGGAUAUUUAACACCAUCCAACAUCGAGUAACAAUUGGAGGGCAAGUCUGGU